AGAGUUUGAUCCUGGCUCAGAAUCAACGCUGGCGGCGCGCUUAACACAUGCAAGUCGAACGAGAAAGGGGAGCAAUCCCUGAGUAAAGUGGCGUACGGGUGAGUAACACGUGGGUAAUCUACCUUUUGGUGGGGGAUAACGCUGGGAAACCGGCGCUAAUACCGCAUAAGCUCGAGAGAGGAAAGGAGCAAUUCGCCGAAAGAGGAGCCCGCGGCUGAUUAGCUAGUUGGUGAGGUAAGAGCUCACCAAGGCGAAGAUCGGUAGCCGGCCUGAGAGGGCACACGGCCACACUGGCACUGAAACACGGGCCAGACUCCUACGGGAGGCAGCAGUGGGGAAUCUUGCACAAUGGGGGAAACCCUGAUGCAGCGACGCCGCGUGAGCGAUGAAGCCCUUCGGGGUGUAAAGCUCUUUCGGCAGGGACGAUAAUGACGGUACCUGAAGAAGAAGCUGCGGCUAACUACGUGCCAGCAGCCGCGGUAAUACGUAGGCAGCGAGCGUUGUUCGGAGUUACUGGGCGUAAAGAGUGCGUAGGCGGUUUUCUAAGUUUGGUGUGAAAUCUCCCCGGCUUAACUGGGAGGGUGCGCCGAAGACUGGAAGGCUAGAGUAUGGGGAGAGGUAAGCGGAAUUCCUGGUGUAGCGGUGAAAUGCGUAGAUAUCAGGAGGAACACCUGCGGUGUAGACGGCUUACUGGACCAUAACUGACGCUGAGGCACGAAAGCGUGGGUAGCAAACAGGAUUAGAUACCCUAGUAGUCC
rnacentral:rRNA from 1 species